UGUUGCUUUAUGAGUGGAAAU
rnacentral:piRNA from 1 species